rnacentral:rRNA from 1 species
CCGAAAAAGCAAGCCACGGCUAACUACGUGCCAGCAGCCGCGGUAAUACGUAGGUGGCAAGCGUUGUCCGGAAUUAUUGGGCGUAAAGCGCGCGCAGGCGGUUUCUUAAGUCCAUCUUAAAAGCGUGGGGCUCAACCCCAUGAGGGGAUGGAAACUGGGAAGCUGGAGUAUCGGAGAGGAAAGUGGAAUUCCUAGUGUAGCGGUGAAAUGCGUAGAGAUUAGGAAGAACACCGGUGGCGAAGGCGACUUUCUAGACAAAAACUGACGCUGAGGCGCGAAAGCGUGGGGAGCAAACAGGAUUAAAUACCCUGGUAGUCC